AAGUUGGAAAAACCGAAUUCUGUUAUUUUUCACCAAAUGUCAGAGGCUAUAACUCUUUGGUCGAUCACGAGUUUUGUUGUUUAAAAGUUGUUAUAGGUAUCCUGAUAUGUGGUAUUUAAUUUCCAAAAGGAAUAAAGUUCAUAUAUAUUGUAGAUCGGUAUUUAUAAGCGGUCAAAGUGGGUUGACCGGCAUUGACCGGCUGUUCUUCAAACCCAGAAAAUAUUCUAAGUGUCCAGAAAAUAUUUUUUUGGAAAAUGUCAG
rnacentral:lncRNA from 1 species